UACGGGGGGGGCAAGCGUUGUUCGGAAUUACUGGGCGUAAAGGGCUCGUAGGCGGCCAACUAAGUCAGACGUGAAAUCCCUCGGCUUAACCGGGGAACUGCGUCUGAUACUGGAUGGCUAGAGUUUGGGAGAGGGAUGCGGAAUUCCAGGUGUAGCGGUGAAAUGCGUAGAUAUCUGGAGGAACAUCGGUGGCGAAGGCGGCAUCCUGGACCAACACUGACGCUGAGGAGCGAAAGCCAGGGGAGCAAACGGG
rnacentral:rRNA from 1 species